CCCUUAGAUGUUCUGGGCCGCACGCGCGCUACACUGAUUCAUGCAACAAGUUUUGUCCUUGGCUGAUAGGCCUGGGUAAUCUUUGAACGUGAAUCGUGAUGGGGAUAGAUGAUUGCAAUUAUUCAUCUUCAACGAGGAAUUCCUAGUAAACGCAAGUCAUCAGCUUGCAUUGAUUACGUCCCUGCCCUUUGUACACACCGCCCGUCGCACCUACCGAUUGAAUGGUCCGGUGAAAUCUUCGGAUCUGAGAGAUGUCUGAUUAAUUUCGGACGCCUUUUGGAAAAGUUGCUUAAAUCUUACCAUUUAGAGGAAGGUGAAGUCGUAACA
rnacentral:rRNA from 1 species